CUUGACGAUCAUAGAGCGUUGGAACCACCUGAUCCCUUCCCGAACUCAGAAGUGAAACGACGCAUCGCCGAUGGUAGUGUGGGGUCUCCCCAUGUGAGAGUAGG
rnacentral:rRNA from 1 species